UACGUAGGGUGCAAGCGUUAUCCGGAAUUAUUGGGCGUAAAGAGCUCGUAGGCGGUUUGUCGCGUCUGCUGUGAAAACUGGGGGCUCAACCCCCAGCCUGCAGUGGGUACGGGCAGACUAGAGUGCGGUAGGGGAGAUUGGAAUUCCUGGUGUAGCGGUGGAAUGCGCAGAUAUCAGGAGGAGCACCGAUGGCGAAGGCAGAUCUCUGGGCCGUAACUGACGCUGAGGAGCGAAAGCAUGGGGAGCGAACAGG
rnacentral:rRNA from 1 species